ensembl:lncRNA
AUGAACAGUUCGUCAUUUUACGGUUCCAGGCUGAGGAACACAAAAAAGACAAGUAUGUCGGAGAACAUAGAUUGGCUACCAAAGCCAAAAUCAGAGAAACGGCUUAAGAAGCGCAUGGUCCUAAAAAAAGCGGCCGAUGUCCUGUUUAGUUCGGUGACAGUCGAAAGCAGUGGACACCAAGCAAGACCGACUGUGUUGGAGGAUUUGAGGCCUGAGCUGGCGAGGCAGCGCUCCGAGAUUGAGGCACUGAGAAAGCAGCUAAGUCUCUGCAAGGCGGCACAUGCCAGUGAAACUGAGGCACUGAGGAAGGAGCUGCAUGCAUGCAAACAGGCAUGUGCAAGCGCAAAUACAGCCCUUGCUGAUUUAAAUACCACUCACAAUCAACUUGUUCAGACCCACACGACCGUUGUAAUGCAGUUGAGAGAGGCGCAAACAGCAGCAACGGAAGCACAAAGAACACCGCUACCCUUUUUUCACUCCAGUAGCAGACAGUAUGACUCGGACCGGGGUCAUUCCUAACUUGAGUGUGGAUGCAGACCGGAGUGAAAAUACGCCCUCCAUCGCUUCUGUGGAUCUGAAUCCUACUCCACCUGGAAGUUGUCAUCCUGAUCUCCAGUUCUCCCCUCCCACUCUAGAGCAUACUGACAUAAUGAUGAUUCAGAGUCGGGGACGGCCAGAUCGGUAUGGUUGCUUGUUGUUCCGCGCUGUUGUGCCAGAACAGCGAUAUGCAGAAUGGGCAACCACAACUAACUGGGAUGGUUCGAGAGGCAAAUUUGCAUUGCCCAUGAACAUAAGACAGUUUGUUACAAGCACUGUCUCCCAGAGGUUUCCCCACAUGUCCAACGCUGACAGCAAGUGCAUAAAGGACCGGGUCAACGAAUUCCUACGCUCCCCAAGGAACUCUGUUGCCCACCGACGUCUGUACUUUUGAAGACACUUUCACUUAAAAUACACUUGUUUUAAAUACAUUUAAAAAUCUGUUAAUAUUAUAUGUUAGUAGUUGUAUUUUAUCUGGCGUUUUCUAUUAAAAAAAAUACAAAAUAUAUUUCUUCAAAACCUACUCAUGUUUUUGUUGUUGUUUUACUUUAAACGUUUCUGCUUCUAUUUUAGCCACUUUAUUUUCAAUAAACUAAUACAAAAAUGAAAAAAAAGGGUAAGA